rnacentral:pre_miRNA from 1 species
CAAACGGUGCACGCACGACUUUGAUAGGGCUAUCAAGGUCAGCCCUAUCAAAGUCGUGCGUGCACCGUUUG